rnacentral:rRNA from 1 species
AGUCACUGACAUUAGAUACCCCGGUAGUCCCAGCCGUAAACAAUGUGCGUUAGGUGUGUCGGUAACCACGUGUUACUGAUGCGCCGAAGAGAAAUCGUGAAACGCACCACCUGGGAAGUACGGUCGCAAGGCUGAAACUUAAAGGAAUUGGCGGGAGCACCACAACAGGUGGAGCCUGCGGUUUAAUUGGAUUCAACGCCGGACAUCUCACCGGAUAAGACAGCUGAAUGAUUGUCAAUCUGAAGGUUUUACAUGACUAGCUG